GACGAACCGUGCAAACGUUAUUCGGAAUCACUGGGCUUAAAGCGCGUGUAGGCGGAUGGGAACGUCGGAACCUGAAAGCCCCCGGCUCAACCCGGGAACUGCGUCCGAUACUGGCAGGCUUGAAUCCGGGAGAGGGAUGCGGAAUUCCAGGUGUAGCGGUGAAAUGCGUAGAUAUCUGGAGGAACACCGGUGGCGAAGGCGGCAUCCUGGACCGGUAUUGACGCUGAGGCGCGAAAGCCAGGGGAGCAAACGGG
rnacentral:rRNA from 1 species